AAAAUUUUUUCGAUAUAAAUUUUCUACCUUUGACCAUUUGGACAAAGAUAUGCAAGUCGUACGUGUUAUUCUCGCCCAUGAAAGACGACAAGCAAAUUUUAAAACCUCAAGAAAUGUGGGAAAAAGACGAGACUUGAAUAUGGAUUUUAAUAUACAAAGGUCAAGAGGCGUAUUUUCAUAUUCAAUUUUAUUUACACUUUAUCUUAUUUGACAUGAAAUAAUAAGUAUAACGAUGAAAAUGACACUCUAUUUGUUAAGGAAACAGCUUCCUACAGUGCAAUACACAUGGGAAAGUGUAAAAUUUCCCACUACUUUAGCAAGCUGUGAUUCACAAUCGCAAAUAUUUGGUUACAACCUACGAUGCUUAUUAGUCUUAUUAAAAUUAUAUUCAGUCACAUAUACGAGUAUUAAUACGACGGUCUUUAAAGUGCGAACUGUCUUGUGUAAUAAUGUUAAAAACUCUGAGGUCUCGUUUUAUAAAUAGACAUAAACAAUGAUCAUGUACCACAGACUAUCUUUUUGAAAGAGGGAUUAAUUAGGUUUUGUGUUAUGUACCAACUUAUGUACAGUAUAAGCUGGAGGUGCUAGCUUUCUGGUUGGGAUACUUCUUGAUAUUUGUGUCAUUAUAGAGGCUUGAGAUAAAUCACACUUUUCCCUAAGCCGAGGUUUAGCUGAGGUGUGUGCCAAUUUUUUUUAAUUUUGCCCAAAUUACAUAGUUAUUUACAUUUAUUUCCUUUUGAGAUAAUGCAUGCAUGUGUGUCACACCUCAUUUCCAGGAUGCACUGUUUUCUUACAGGUUUUCUCAGUAAAUGGCUUAUUGCAUUUUUUAUCCGUACACCCCCUGUUGAGGACACACAGCGUAAAUUCUCCUACCCCCCCGGAUUUCCAAGUAAUUUUUUUGUCAGAAGCCCUGGAAAAAUGUGGUUUGUAGAAGGGGGUGCCUGGAAUUCCAAUUGUUUUUAAUCAAUGACACUGGAAUUCCAGGUUGUUUUGACCCCCACCCACUGGAAUUCCAGGGUUAAAUAUAAAAGGCAUCCCCUGGAUUUCCAAGGUCCUCAACAGGGGUUGUACAGAUAAAAAAUGCAAUAUGCCAAUAUCACUAUGAAUAAACAAUGUACCUACAUAAGCGCACUCAUAGUUCUGAUUUAAGCUGAGGAGUUAGGCCACAUUCGUUUAUUUACCUUGGUCAUAUGCUAAGUUAUGUUACCUGGAUAAUUGUACAAUCUCAUUAAAAAUUAAUCUAUUCUUGUUUAUUGCAGAUUUAAUCCAUAAUGACACACUCUCCUUUCUCGGUGGCAAAACACAGUAUCAAGCCACAUCUUUGGAAACUGAGCCA